rnacentral:tRNA from 1 species
AUGGGGGUUAGCAUACGAUGGCCAAAUGCGUUCCUUGUUUUAGGGCAAGGAAAGAACGCAGGUUCGACUCCUGUCCCCCCCCCC